GUACCCUUAUUGUAUUGGGUGUAUUCAAUUAGGGAUUUAUAGUAUGAUAAGGUUCUAUAUAUAACAACUGUAUGAAUUUUGUUCAUUUAAGCCCUGUGGAUGUUCUGUCCGUAAUCUGAAAAUCCAAUAUGUUUCCCUUUGCAGAUUACGGACAGAACAUCCACAGGGCUUAAAUGAACAAAAUUCAUACAGUUGUUAUAUAUAGAACCUUAUCAUACUAUAAAUCCCUAAUUGAAUACACCCAAUACAAUAAGGGAACUCAUAGCACCAUCUGGUGGUAAUUUCUUCUAUAUCUUUAAAUAAACCUCUCUGUUUCUUUAACAUCUUCCCCUUUAAAUUGAGGCAACCCCUUGAUGCUUUUCAUACUCGCAAUUAGAACCCAACACACAGCAGAGUAUCCCGUGAGUAUAUACUGUUUUAGAAAUAUACUAUUUGUUUAAAAACAAUUUUUUGGAUGUAUGUAACUCUUUAAUGCUUAUGGCCACUCCUUGUUCCUUUGACCUAGAUUCCACUGUAAAAAACAUGUAUCUCUAAGGAGAACAAGUGUUAAAUUUGGAACUGUACCACCAGAGGAAGGCCUGAUGCAGGGCCGAAACCGGUCGUGGCGGACUUACUCUUCUCGGCAUUAGAAUACACAACGCCGAUUGCAUUUCAAUGUAUAUUGGACAAUCCAUUUGAGGCUGCUUGUUAUUACUGUGAAUUUAACGCCGACUGCAUUUCAAUGUAUAUUGGACAAUCCAUUUGAUGGUGUUUGAUAUUACUGUGAAUUUAAACAGUAUACUAAUUUGCCAGA